ensembl:lncRNA
CGAGCCAGUGUGACUAAAGAGGAACCAAGUUUUUCCAUAGCCAAACUAGAAAGAAUUUGCAUUUGCAGUCUGCUACACGCAACCCAUUUUAUCUGUCACUGAAUGUGUCUGGGCAGUGGCUGUUCUCUCAGGUCUGAGUCUUGAAGAGGGAAAGACAAAGAGGUGGUAGGACAAGGUAAAAUUAUGUGUGAAACAGCUUUUUUCCCCAGCUUCUUCAUUGCCUGCUCACUUCUCAAAAAUGGAAUAAAUGCUGAACAUGCUGACUUUCCCCACCAUUCCUGUAAAUAAGGAUGUGACUCACAAACCCUGCAAUCUCCAGAAUGCCAUAGAUACUACGGUGAUUUGAUUAUUUAAAAAUAGCUGGAAAAAAGCAAGAAAUUGGUCAUGGCCCCCUGGCACAUAGCUGUGCAUUUUUCAGUUGUGGGUCCUUCUAGUUGUGGCAUGUGGGAUGCCGCCUCAGCAUGGCCUGAUGAGCAGUGCCAUGUCCGUGCCCAGGACUCGAACUGGCGAAACCCUGGGCCACCGAAGCAGAGCCUGUGAAUCCAACCACUCGGCCAUGGGGCCGGCCCUAAGGGACGUGAUACUGUUUUUCUCUGUGAUUGUAAUUUUAGAGUUGGAACCCUGCGAAUGUCAUCAUCACUGCUCUAUGGACUAUAGUUGAGUUAAUGUACAAAACAGAAUGAGGGUUGACUGGAAUCAUUCGAAGAAAGAACUUUGGAUGCAGCAGAGAGACUGAGGCUGAAUGGGAGAAAGAUGAGGGGAGCUGAGACAGCUGGUCACUUUCAGCUCUACGUUCUUGAAGAAGAUUCUUAGAUAACCAAGAAGAAAAGAAACUGGCCUAGAGCUCAGAGAAGGCCGAAGUGGUAAGAGAGAAAAAGAGCUGUCGUCACUGAAUUCCUUGAGAAAAAUCUGUUAAGAAGAGGCUUGAGACCUCAAAAGCCAGAGGCAUCCAUGGGUCAGAAUGAGCUUCAACUAAAAGGAGGAUUUGCUUAAUUAAUUAAACAUUAAUGCCAUGCUCUUUCUUACACUGAGCUUUCAUUCAUGCUGUUCUCUCCGCCUGGAAUGCCUUCUCUCUCCGCCUUCACCUGGUUAACUCCUAUCAAUUAUUACGUCUCUGCCUCACUGCUGCUUCCUCCCAGAAGACUCCUUUGACCUCUGGAGACUGGGUCUGGUGCCUUCCCUGGUGGUCUUAUCUCAUCCUAUUUUAGAACUUACUGUAUUGAUUGACAUUGCUUUCUGACAUGCCUGUCUUCGUGAAUGAGCUGGGAGCUCCUUGAUGACAAUGGUUGUGUCUCGUUUAGAGUUGUUUCUUCAGAAUAUAACUUGGUGCCUGGCAUGUGGUAGGAGUUUAAGAGAUAUUUGCUAGCCGAAAGAAGGGAUGAAAGGACGAAUGAGGCCCCUACUCUUGCUCUGUCAAAUGGGCUGGGUGUUUGGUGGUGGGGCAUCAGGAAGGAAGAGGUAGGUGUGGGGGUAAGCCAAAGGAGCUGGACACUAUUCCUGGCCUCAGAGAACCUGAUAACAUCUGUGACUCGUGGUGUAAUACAAGGCAGGUGACACAGUACAGUCCUAUAGCACAAGAUGGGAGAGUCGGGGUACCAGAUUUAGUAAAUAAAAAUACAGGGUGCCCAGUUAAAUGUGAAUUUCAGAUAAGCAGCGAAUAGUACAUAUUGUCUCAUGGAAUAUUUAGGCUAUACUAAUACUAAAAGUUAUUCAUUUUUAAUUAAAAUAAAGAUUUGCCUGGGCCUCCUGUAUUUUAUCAACCUUAAAAGAGAGGAACACGGCCCAUAAGAGAUUAUUUCUCCUUUUUUGGGGGUGCGAUGGGGAUAUGGGCCAGCCUUGGUGGUCUAGUGAUUAAAAUCUGGCACUCCCACUGCCACAGCCUGGUUCAUUUUCCAGUCAGAGAACCACACUACCCGUCUGUUGGUUGUCGUACUGUGGUGGCUGAGUGUUGCUGUGAUGCUGAAAGCUACGUCACUGGUAUUUCAAGUACCAGCAGGGUCACCCAUGGUGGACAGGUUUCAGCGGAGCUUCCCGACUAAACAGACUAGGAAAAAGGACCUGGCCACCCACUUCUGAAAAAUUGGCCAUGAAAACCCUACAAAUAGCAGCACAGCAUUGUCUGAUACAACACCAGAAGGUGAGAGGAUGGCACAAAACAACUGGACAGGGUUCCGCUCUGCUGGACACAGUGUCACUAGGAGUCGGAUCAACUCGACAGCACUAAUAACAUGAGGAUAUUAGAGAAAGAUACAUGAUUUGGGAAAGAUUUUCUAGAAAAUAUGUGAACUGAGUUGAGUUGCAAAAGAUGGAAGCCAAAAUGUGAGGAAGUGCAGUUCAGGUAGAAACAUCCCAGGGGAAAAGGCAGAGCAGGUUCAGAGACUGGCUCCAAUCUGGUUAGGCCAGUGUGAGAAGGUGUGCACUGGGGUGGUGACAAACCCAGCUAGAUGGUUGGGCAGGGUUGGUCACUCCAGGUGUCAAAUUCUCAAUACCCUGAGCAACACCCCCCCACCCCCCCAACCCGCCUUGGCCAAACUUUGUGAACAGGCAGGACUAGAUCUUUCUGCCUGGGCAAAUGUUUCAUCUUUACCCAGUUGAGUAGCGUUGGACAUUAGUCUCUGUAAAUAAUGAAGAAAAAACACCAGGGACAUUUUGCAAGAGUCCUAAAUUGCUCAAUCAUUUGCCUUUUUUCAAACACUGGUGUCAAAGCAGCAUCUUUAGCCAAGUUGAGGAAAAAGUGAAUACUAAUGAUGAGUAAUCAAAACAAGACGGGGUGGUGUGGCAAAUACUAACACCUUCUAAGGCAUUUAUAAUUUUAGUCUUUUCCAGUUUUAUUUAUUUACUUUUUAAACAUUGGCACCCAGGCUAACAACUGUUGCCAAUCUUCUUUUUUUUCCCCUUCCUGCUUUUUCUCCCCAAAUCCCCCCAGUACAUAGCUGUAUAUUUUAGUUGUGGGUCCUUUUAGUUGUGGCAUGUGGGAUACCACCUCAACAUGGCCUGACAAGCAGUGCCAUGUCAGCACCCAGGAUCUGAACCAGUGAAACCCUGGACUGCCAAAGUGGAGUGUGUGAACUUAACCACUUGGCCAUGGGGCCGGCCCCUCCAGUUUUCUACUACGACAUCUGUUUAGCAUUAUGUAAUGAAUAUGUAAUGAAACAGAUAGAAAUAGCUUAUUUAUGAUCUAGGUAAGAGGUGGAAAUGCUUGUUUAACUUUUGUUGAGUACCCUCUGUGCUCCAGGUGGCAAUGUAUGUAACUUCCCUUAAUCUUUUCAACAAUACUAUAAUACUAUUGUAUAUACAGUUACGUACCGCAUAAAGAUGUUUUGGUCAACAACAGACUGCAUGUACGAUGGUGAUCCCAUGAGAUUUGUACCGUAUAUCCUAGGUGUGUAGUGGGCUAUUCCAUCUAGGUUUGGGGAAGUAUACUCUAUGAUGUUCGCACAAUGACGAACAUUGCAUUUCUCUGAAUGUAUCCCUGUCAUUAAGUGACUCAUGACUGUAUAAGUUUAUACAACAAUAAAACAGCACGAUUGUGUGUAUAAGUGUACACAAUAAUACCAUCGCAAUUGUUACGUGCAUCUUGCUGACGUUCAUAAUGUUUAUU